rnacentral:rRNA from 1 species
GACGAACGCUGGCGGCGUGCUUAACACAUGCAAGUCGAACGGAAAGGCCCUGCUUUUGUGGGGUGCUCGAGUGGCGAACGGGUGAGUAACACGUGAGUAACCUGCCCUUGACUUUGGGAUAACUUCAGGAAACUGGGGCUAAUACCGGAUAGGAGCUCCUGCUGCAUGGUGGGGGUUGGAAAGUUUCGGCGGUUGGGGAUGGACUCGCGGCUUAUCAGCUUGUUGGUGGGGUAGUGGCUUACCAAGGCUUUGACGGGUAGCCGGCCUGAGGGGGUGACCGGCCACAUUGGGACUGCGAUACGGCCCAGACUCCUACGGGAGGCAGCAGUGGGGAAUAUUGCACAAUGGGCGGAAGCCUGAUGCAGCAACGCCGCGUGCGGGAUGACGGCCUUCGGGUUGUAAACCGCUUUCGCCUGUGACGAAGCGUGAGUGACGGUAAUGGGUAAAGAAGCACCGGCUAACUACGUG